rnacentral:lncRNA from 1 species
UUCCCUCUUCGCAGUGAGCUGCGUUUGCAGAGAGGGGGGAGGCGCUGGAGUGCGGGUGCUUUCCCUGGAAGAGAAAAUCUUUCUCUUUGGCACGAUACAUCAAGUGUCUUUUCUUUUUUGCCUCUCUUUCCAACGUGGUCUUUCCUAAGCAAUAUGCCACUGAACAAAGGGCCCACUAAUAAGUCUGCGUGCGAAUUAAGUCUUUCAACAGCACAAGGCGUGUCAACAACAACAUCCAACACACUGUGACUAGGCUGACAACACUUUCCAAGAGAAGUCGGCGGUUCAUCUCCUCUUUCUCACAGGGACGACCUUCUCCUGUCUCGCCUCCUGCUUCCAUACGCCAGGCGACAAAACACCGCACACGUUUCAGCAACAACGGCAAGGAGAGGUUCCUACUCCCGUUGGCUUCGAAGUGCAAUUGAAAGCAAACAGCAGGAUCGGACCUCAACGCAAGACAUUCUGGCUCCUGACUGCUGGAAGCUCCCCAUAAAACGGGGAAGUGUUGAACUUCAGUGGAAAGUAACGUUUCUGCAACAUAAGCUCCAACUGAUAAACCAUCAGCUAACAGAAUGGAUGGAUCCACAACAUCAAGAAAAAAACACAAGAUAUAAGCCAAUUAAACUGAUACAUCAGUUUAAAUCCGUCACUUCAACUAAGUUGGACUUUGCAGUGGAAUGUUAGUAAUUCAUCACUAAAUUGGAUGCAGAAGGAAAGGGAAGUGGUGCUGAUGAGAUUGAAAAUUGUUUUGGUAAGUUUCACUGUACAGGGAUAUCCCUCUUUUUCUGCAUUAUUAGCAAAUGAUCAUCAGCAUUUGAAAUCACAUUCAACCUUAUGUGGAAAUCACUAAGUUGCCACUGAUACUUGGAGAAGUUUUGUUACAUUGUGGUAAUAUGAUAAAAUAAAUAUUUUAAUCUAAUCA